rnacentral:rRNA from 1 species
GGGUUGUGAGGUUAAGCGACUAAGCGUACACGGUGGAUGCCCUGGCAGUCAGAGGCGAUGAAGGACGUGCUAAUCUGCGAUAAGCGUCGGUAAGGUGAUAUGAACCGUUAUAACCGGCGAUUUCCGAAUGGGGAAACCCAGUGUGAUUCGUCACACUAUCAUUAACUGAAUCCAUAGGUUAAUGAGGCGAACCGGGGGAACUGAAACAUCUAAGUACCCCGAGGAAAAGAAAUCAACCGAGAUUCCCCCAGUAGCGGCGAGCGAACGGGGAGCAGCCCAGAGCCUGAAUCAGUGUGUGUGUUAGUGGAAGCGUCUGGAAAGGCGCGCGAUACAGGGUGACAGCCCCGUACACAAAAAUGCACAUGCUGUGAGCUCGAUGAGUAGGGCGGGACACGUGGUAUCCUGUCUGAAUAUGGGGGGACCAUCCUCCAAGGCUAAAUACUCCUGACUGACCGAUAGUGAACCAGUACCGUGAGGGAAAGGCGAAAAGAACCCCGGCGAGGGGAGUGAAAAAGAACCUGAAACCGUGUACGUACAAGCAGUGGGAGCACGCUUAGGCGUGUGACUGCGUACCUUUUGUAUAAUGGGUCAGCGACUUAUAUUCUGUAGCAAGGUUAACCGAAUAGGGGAGCCGAAGGGAAACCGAGUCUUAACUGGGCGUUAAGUUGCAGGGUAUAGACCCGAAACCCGGUGAUCUAGCCAUGGGCAGGUUGAAGGUUGGGUAACACUAACUGGAGGACCGAACCGACUAAUGUUGAAAAAUUAGCGGAUGACUUGUGGCUGGGGGUGAAAGGCCAAUCAAACCGGGAGAUAGCUGGUUCUCCCCGAAAGCUAUUUAGGUAGCGCCUCGUGAAUUCAUCUCCGGGGGUAGAGCACUGUUUCGGCAAGGGGGUCAUCCCGACUUACCAACCCGAUGCAAACUGCGAAUACCGGAGAAUGUUAUCACGGGAGACACACGGCGGGUGCUAACGUCCGUCGUGAAGAGGGAAACAACCCAGACCGCCAGCUAAGGUCCCAAAGUCAUGGUUAAGUGGGAAACGAUGUGGGAAGGCCCAGACAGCCAGGAUGUUGGCUUAGAAGCAGCCAUCAUUUAAAGAAAGCGUAAUAGCUCACUGGUCGAGUCGGCCUGCGCGGAAGAUGUAACGGGGCUAAACCAUGCACCGAAGCUGCGGCAGCGACGCUGAUGCGUUGUUGGGUAGGGGAGCGUUCUGUAAGCCUGUGAAGGUGUACUGUGAGGUAUGCUGGAGGUAUCAGAAGUGCGAAUGCUGACAUAAGUAACGAUAAAGCGGGUGAAAAGCCCGCUCGCCGGAAGACCAAGGGUUCCUGUCCAACGUUAAUCGGGGCAGGGUGAGUCGACCCCUAAGGCGAGGCCGAAAGGCGUAGUCGAUGGGAAACAGGUUAAUAUUCCUGUACUUGGUGUUACUGCGAAGGGGGGACGGAGAAGGCUAUGUUGGCCGGGCGACGGUUGUCCCGGUUUAAGCGUGUAGGCUGGUUUUCCAGGCAAAUCCGGAAAAUCAAGGCUGAGGCGUGAUGACGAGGCACUACGGUGCUGAAGCAACAAAUGCCCUGCUUCCAGGAAAAGCCUCUAAGCAUCAGGUAACAUCAAAUCGUACCCCAAACCGACACAGGUGGUCAGGUAGAGAAUACCAAGGCGCUUGAGAGAACUCGGGUGAAGGAACUAGGCAAAAUGGUGCCGUAACUUCGGGAGAAGGCACGCUGAUAUGUAGGUGAAGUCCCUCGCGGAUGGAGCUGAAAUCAGUCGAAGAUACCAGCUGGCUGCAACUGUUUAUUAAAAACACAGCACUGUGCAAACACGAAAGUGGACGUAUACGGUGUGACGCCUGCCCGGUGCCGGAAGGUUAAUUGAUGGGGUUAGCGCAAGCGAAGCUCUUGAUCGAAGCCCCGGUAAACGGCGGCCGUAACUAUAACGGUCCUAAGGUAGCGAAAUUCCUUGUCGGGUAAGUUCCGACCUGCACGAAUGGCGUAAUGAUGGCCAGGCUGUCUCCACCCGAGACUCAGUGAAAUUGAACUCGCUGUGAAGAUGCAGUGUACCCGCGGCAAGACGGAAAGACCCCGUGAACCUUUACUAUAGCUUGACACUGAACAUUGAGCCUUGAUGUGUAGGAUAGGUGGGAGGCUUUGAAGUGUGGACGCCAGUCUGCAUGGAGCCGACCUUGAAAUACCACCCUUUAAUGUUUGAUGUUCUAACGUUGACCCGUAAUCCGGGUUGCGGACAGUGUCUGGUGGGUAGUUUGACUGGGGCGGUCUCCUCCUAAAGAGUAACGGAGGAGCACGAAGGUUGGCUAAUCCUGGUCGGACAUCAGGAGGUUAGUGCAAUGGCAUAAGCCAGCUUGACUGCGAGCGUGACGGCGCGAGCAGGUGCGAAAGCAGGUCAUAGUGAUCCGGUGGUUCUGAAUGGAAGGGCCAUCGCUCAACGGAUAAAAGGUACUCCGGGGAUAACAGGCUGAUACCGCCCAAGAGUUCAUAUCGACGGCGGUGUUUGGCACCUCGAUGUCGGCUCAUCACAUCCUGGGGCUGAAGUAGGUCCCAAGGGUAUGGCUGUUCGCCAUUUAAAGUGGUACGCGAGCUGGGUUUAGAACGUCGUGAGACAGUUCGGUCCCUAUCUGCCGUGGGCGCUGGAGAACUGAGGGGGGCUGCUCCUAGUACGAGAGGACCGGAGUGGACGCAUCACUGGUGUUCGGGUUGUCAUGCCAAUGGCACUGCCCGGUAGCUAAAUGCGGAAGAGAUAAGUGCUGAAAGCAUCUAAGCACGAAACUUGCCCCGAGAUGAGUUCUCCCUGACUCCUUGAGAGUCCUGAAGGAACGUUGAAGACGACGACGUUGAUAGGCCGGGUGUGUAAGCGCAGCGAUGCGUUGAGCUAACCGGUACUAAUGAACCGUGAGGCUUAACCUUACAACGCCGAAGGUGUUU